UACGUAGGGUGCAAGCGUUAAUCGGACUUACUGGGCGUAAAGCGUGCGCAGGCGGUUUUGUAAGUCUGAUGUGAAAUCCCCGGGCUCAACCUGGGAAUUGCAUUGGAGACUGCAAGGCUAGAAUCUGGCAGAGGGGGGUAGAAUUCCACGUGUAGCAGUGAAAUGCGUAGAGAUGUGGAGGAACACCGAUGGCGAAGGCAGCCCCCUGGGUCAAGAUUGACGCUCAUGCACGAAAGCGUGGGGAGCAAACAGG
rnacentral:rRNA from 1 species